UGUGUUAUGUCGGACAACAUUUCAAGUGAGCGAGUAUAACAAAUGUCCACCACAGGACUCGAAGUUUCUCACGCUGGUAGCGCGUUCUGUAGAACAGUGUGUUGAAGAAUGCAUGCGAAGAAAAAGUUGUGAAGUUGUUGGAUAUAAUCGCUUACUACAGUUGUGUAAACUUCAUGCGCGAACCUUGUCACCGGCUUUUGUCGACAACAACUAUAUCUUGAUACGUCGAGGGGACAUUAGAGGACCUGAGUGUAACUGCCCUGAGUGGAGUGUAUGCAAUGCUGAAAAUGGGACAUGUGUAAUAAAAGAAUGUCUUCCCCUGCCACCUCUUCAUAAUGGAACAGUCUAAGGGAAUACGAAUCAAUUUGGAGCGACUAAACUAGUCGACUGCACUACAGGAUUCUUUGAGAUUAGUAAUGCCAAUUUAAAGCCAAUCAAAUGUUCUCUAUCAGGGAAUUGGAGUUUUAUCCCAUAUUGUCAAGAAUGUCCAGUUCCGGGAGAGGUGUUCAAGUUUCCUUUAUCCACGUCUCAUGAAGGAUUCCAGAUUUACACAGAAAAAAAGACACAACAAAGCGCUAGUGACAUGUGUACUGCACAAAGUGCUAAUCUUAUUAGAAUUAAAAGCUGGUGGCAAAUUCAAUAUAUAAGGAGUAUAUCGACAACAUGUAUAGAUACAACUGACACUGAAAAAAUUAAGUUCUGGACAGAUGGUAAAGAAGACAACGAUGGAAACUGGACAUAUUCAAAUGGCGAGAAUGUUCCAUUGGAUGAAAUAUUCUGGAAUAAGAACGGAGCAGUUGGGACUUGCUUACGAUUGAUGUACAAACUGCAUGGAAUUCAGUGCGAUUCAAAGAUGCGUUUUAUUUGCGAACGUGAUUAGACGUAUAAUUAGACGUACCUUUCCGAUGUUUUGAUACACGUAUGAUAAACGCGUACAUAUUUAGUACUUUUGAUGCAAUGCUGAAAAAUUUGAACAUUUUUAAGCAUAUUAUAAUCUUUUUAGAAUGAAGAUGUGCUUUUUUUCUUAUUUUGUAAUUGAGACGUUGUAACGACGCAUCUCUGACGGUUACUCGUGCGUAAAACAGUAUAUUAUACCGGAUGUUUGUUUCAACUAAUUCAAUUACAGGUGUUCACAUUGACGUUUGGACAUCAAUUCUAAACAUCGAAUCUCGUAUGAAAUGUACAUUAUGGAACAUUGAGUCAUUACUUUAUCCUUGCUGUCGGCAAGUGAUUCUGCCUUUGUGACCAGUGCAGACCAAGAUCAGCCAGCACGUCCGCUUUCCGGUCCGUAAAUUUUCAUUGAAUAACCGUUCAAACAAUAAAUGGUACCAAAUGAAUGAGUGACCAAGUCCAUUUUAGAAAUUAAGCAGGCUAAAGGUUGAAAGGCUGUACAAACAGCUACGUCAAUUUACCACUAGAUAUAUAUCUGCAAGAAAAUAUUAAAACUCCUGUAACUGACUGUAACUGAAAGGCAUUAUGUAUUCUCAUUCAACCAUUUUAGUACUCUUGUAGAUUAAUAUGAAACGAAAACUACAUUUAUUUCUGUUUAUGUAUACAUUUGCUAGUCAAAGUGCACGUGAUAUAGCACACAUAUUAUAUUCUCAUUUCUGGUUGAAGUUUUGUAUAGACCGCGUGGCUCUUCCUGUCAGACUUUAUAUUAGGAUUGUUUAAACCGAAAUAUUACAGGAUACUAUCAAAGAAGUUUGAUCCCAGAAAAUAUUAUCCCGCAUUUACAUUAUAAAGAUACAUGAAGUUUAUGUAAUAAAGAUAAGAAAUUACCAGCUCAAAAUGCUUGUCAUAUUUUAGCAAAAUUUGCUGUUAUCGUAAACUAGUUGCUGUUGCACUGCGAUAUGGUAAAAGUGUUAACCUCUAUUAGUGCAUGCAACAUCAAUUUGUCAACAUUUGUCAUAAAUGUGUUAUCUAGGAGUUGUUUGUUUAAUAUUUGAUUUCUACAAACAUUAGAAUUUCUCUGUUCAGUAACAUAUUUUUCUUAGCCCGUUUUUCAGCAUUGUAUUGUAUCUUUUUUGUAGAAAAGGACCCGGAGUGAAAACGAUAUUUUUUUAUUAACAUACUAAAAUAUAUUUAUAGUCUACGUUCGAAUUGUGUCAUUUUAAAAUCCG
rnacentral:lncRNA from 1 species